rnacentral:rRNA from 1 species
AACAGGAUUAGAUACCCUGGUAGUCCACGCCCUAAACGAUGUCAACUAGCUGUUGGGGCCUUCGGGCCUUGGUAGCGCAGCUAACGCGUGAAGUUGACCGCCUGGGGAGUACGGUCGCAAGAUUAAAACUCAAAGGAAUUGACGGGGACCCGCACAAGCGGUGGAUGAUGUGGAUUAAUUCGAUGCAACGCGAAAAACCUUACCUACCCUUGACAUGUCUGGAAUUCCGAAGAGAUUUGGAAGUGCUCGCAAGAGAACCGGAACACAGGCGCUGCAUGGCUGUCGUCAGCUCGUGUCGUGAGAUGUUGGGUUAAGUCCCGCAACGAGCGCAACCCUUGUCAUUAGUUGCUACGAAAGGGCACUCUAAUGAGACUGCCGGUGACAAACCGGAGGAAGGUGGGGAUGACGUCAAGUCCUCAUGGCCCUUAUGGGUAGGGCUUCACACGUCAUACAAUGGUCGGGACAGAGGGUCGCCAACCCGCGAGGGGGAGCCAAUCCCAGAAACCCGAUCGUAGUCCGGAUCGCAGUCUGCAACUCGACUGCGUGAAGUCGGAAUCGCUAGUAAUCGCGGAUCAGCAUGUCGCGGUGAAUACGUUCCCGGGUCUUGUACACACCGCCCGUCACACCAUGGGAGUGGGUUUUACCAGAAGUAGUUAGCCUAACCGCAAGGGGGGCGAUUACCACGGUAGGAUUCAUGACUGGGGUGAAGUCGUAACAAGGUAACC